rnacentral:rRNA from 1 species
CCUACGGGAGGCAGCAGUGAGGAAUAUUGGUCAAUGGGCGGGAGCCUGAACCAGCCAAGUCGCGUGAGGGAAGACGGUCCUAUGGAUUGUAAACCUCUUUAGGCGGGGAGCAAUGCCGGGCACGCGUGCCCGGAGGGAGAGUACCCGCAGAAUAAGCAUCGGCUAACUCCGUGCCAGCAGCCGCGGUAAUACGGAGGAUGCGAGCGUUAUCCGGAGUUAUUGGGUUUAAAGGGUGCGUAGGCGGAUUUUUAAGUCAGCGGUAAAAUGUCCGGGUUAAACCCGGGCCGGCCGUUGAAACUGGGGAUCUUGAGUGGGCGAGAAGUAUGCGGAAUGCGUGGUGUAGCGGUGAAAUGCAUAGAUAUCACGCAGAACUCCGAGUGCGAAGGCAGCAUACCGGCGCCCGACUGACGCUGAGGCACGAAAGCGUGGGGAUCGAACAGGAUUAGAUACCCGUGUAGUC